rnacentral:sRNA from 21 species
GUCAAUAACCUAACUCUGAAGAGAUGGGGUUGUCCGGUGCGGCAAACCCUGAAUGACCAGACUGAGUUCCUUCUACAGAAACUACGUUAUCACAGUUACGCUUCCCUCAGAUGCUUCCUUAGUCCGUUGCUCUAUG